GGUGGUUCUUGGGUGAUGCACCCUGGAAUUGGGCUUCCUCCUCUGUGGUUCCAGGUGCGUCAUCUGAGAACUACA
rfam:Myotis davidii contig212453, whole genome shotgun sequence.